rnacentral:rRNA from 1 species
GACGAAGGAUGCAAGCGUUAUCCGGAUUCAUUGGGUUUAAAGGGUGCGUAGGCGGACUUGUAAGUCAGUGGUGAAAUCUCUUUGCUUAACAAAGAAACUGCCAUUGAUACUGCAGGUCUAGAGUAUAGAUGACGUUGGCGGAAUAUGACAUGUAGUGGUGAAAUACUUAGAUAUGUCAUAGAAUACCGAUUGCGAAGGCAGCUAACGAAACUAUAACUGACGCUGAGGCACGAAAGUGCGGGGAUCAAACAGG